rnacentral:lncRNA from 1 species
CAUUGGAACAUUAUGUCUUGAGUGAGUAAAAGAAUUCUUAUGUGUUAACAGUAACCACAACCUGCACCAGGUAAGUCUUUCUUAUCUAAUUUCAAAUCAUAAUCUAGUAUGCUUGGUCUGUGAAAUGAUUCCUGGAGCAACUAACCAUAUUUUCUUCAGGUAAUCACUCUAAUGAUUUAUGUUAGUGAUUAGGUAUUUCAGUUAAGUAUAUGGAGUUAAAUUCCAACAUAAGGUUGUCCCUUUGGCUUCAGAGGUAACGGAUUACCACCUUUUGCAAGACUUGGUGCGCAAGUCGAACAUGCACCAAAUCACAUUUACAUCCUUUCAAAUACAUGGGAAUACAUACAUGUUUUCAAUGGGAAAGUGAGAGCGACGUGAGAUUGGACACAAGGAAUAAAGCAAUAUCAAAUUAAGGUCCAGUAACUAAAGUGUGCGUGUGUAGAACAAGACUCUAAAUUUUCACCUUAACGAGCAACGGAGAAAACUUCUUGUAAUACCCCGUAUUUAAAAAUAAAAAAAAAGUUAUAUAUAUAUAUGGGUGUAUGUUGAGUAAUUAUUUUAUGUAAAGAUUUUAUUUGAUUUAUUUUUAUGCAAGAACCUAUUCUCAGUAUGUAAAAUAGUUUCAAUGUAAAAUCCUUUUUUCCUACAAAUUAUUUCAAAACCUAGUUAGUAGUAUUUCAUGUUCAUAUGUAAUUAGAGAUAUUUUUAGUUUGAAUGGAGGAGGGAGAUUAAAUGAGUUUGAUUUGAUUUUCCUCACAAAGGCCCAAGAGUUUGAGGUUGGACUAAAUGAUUAGUUUGGUUUUGUUAUUUUCUCUCAAAGAUGAGGUGGAGAGUUUGUAACAUUAGGAGUUAAUGAUUUGGUGAUUACUCACCACUCUAAAUGUGAAGGUGGAAGUCUACUUAAGAGUGGGUUGGCAAGUUUGUAUUCAUUAGGAAUCUAAGAGUUAAAUGUUUGGUGAUGAUUCAUCCCUCCAAAGUUUGAAGAGGUGAGAUUCAUAUUCCUUAGAGAUGAAUGUGGCAUUGGAUGCUUGUAUUCACCUUGCAUAAUAUUGAUUAACUUCACACAUGUCUCUUUGCCAUUUGAACACAUACAAUCAUCAAUGAUUACCUUAACAUUUGGUGUGUUUAUAUUGGAACACAUAUUAGAGCUAAGGUUUUGCUUAACAUUUGUUGUUUGUCUAUUGGACCACAUUUCAUUGUUAAUGAUGAGAACAACACUUGGUGACUUGGUAUUGGAACACAUAUCAUGGAACUAAAUUUGGUGAGUUGCUAUUGGAACACAUGUGCCAUGAAUCAUGAAGAAAAGAAGCAAAAUAAAGUCAAUCUAUACAUAUAGAACUUCAAAGAGAGGGAAUUCAAAGGAAUGAACACAAACACUCAUUAUUUAAAGGAGGAGGAGAGAGCACGGAGAGAAGAAAGAAAAGGGGAGCAACAAUUGUCCUUCUCAUAUCAUUGUUUUUUUCUUCAUAUUUUGUUAAGGCUUCUUAGCCAUUGUCAUGUAUUCAUAAAUUCUCAUUACCUAGUGAAA